rnacentral:snRNA from 1 species
UAUCAUUAUUACGUCAAAAAA